ACGGCCUACGGUUGUAAACUGCUUUGUACCGGAAUAAACCUAGAUACGAGUAUCUAGCUGAAUGUACGGUAAGAAUAAGGAUCGGCUAACUCCGUGC
rnacentral:rRNA from 1 species